GUCUUAUUGAAAUAUAUAGUAAGUCUAUUCUGCCCAUUGAGAAAGUUAAAAGGCUGCAGUAAUUUGACUGUACAAAGGUAGCAUAAUCAAUAGUUUUUUAAUUGAAAACUUGUAUGAAAGAAUUAAUAAAAUAUUAAUUGUCUCAAAUUUAAAAAUUGAAAUUAAAUUAAAAGUUAAAAUUCUUUUAUUUUUUUAUUAGACGAUAAGACCCUAAGAAUUUGAUUAUUUAUUCUUUUUGUUAAUUUUAUUAUUAAGUUAAUAUAAGUUAUUUAAAUAAUUUUAUUGGGAGGGUAAUUAAAAGUUUAAACUUUAAUUUUUUAUAAACUUUGAUAAUAGACUUAAAUGAUUAUUAUUAUAGUUGUAAGAAUUAAUUACCUUAGGGAUAACAGCGUAAUAAUUUUGGAAAGUUCAUAUUUAUAAAAUUGUUUGCGACCUCGAUGUUGAAUUAAAGUAAAAAUUAAAUGAAGAUAUUUAAAUUUUUGGUCUGUUCGACUAUUAAAAUUUUACA
rnacentral:rRNA from 1 species